rnacentral:rRNA from 1 species
CUUGGUCAUUUAGAGGAAGUAAAAGUCGUAACAAGGUUUCCGUAGGUGAACCUGCGGAAGGAUCAUUAACACGUAUCCACGUAUCAACCCCUCUGUGAAAAACUAUCACUCGAAAAGGUAUGGUCUUAGUGUGUUGCUCGUUUGAAGUCCUAAUGAUGGGAGGUUCCUCUCCGCUUCUUUCGAGAAGAUGAGAUACCUCAGGGCUUGAGCAGCAUGUGUUUGACGAUCAGCCGUCACUUUCCCAUCGUUGGCCUUUAACCUAUUUUUAACCCCUUUGUACUUUUUGUACUGAACCAAUUCUUCGAUGCUCUUAGGAGCGACGAUAGAUAUUACGAAACUAAAGAACAACUCUUAGCAACGGAUAUCUUGGUUCCCGCAACGAUGAAGAACGCAGCGAAAUGCGAUACGUAAUGCGAAUUGCAGAAUUCAGUGAAUCAUCAAAUCUUUGAACGCAAAUUGCACUCUCGGGUAUGCCCGGGAGUACGCUUCUUUCAGUAUCGGUUCUAUCUAAACUCGCCUGCGUUUUUAUUUAUAAAGACAGAGGGCGGAGAUUGAGCGUCACACUUUUCUCGAAGGUGUGUUGCUUGAAAGGUAGAAGCGGUAGUUCCCUUCUUUUUUCUUUUGAGAAAAAAACUCAUUGGUUCUUCUCGCCUUCCCUUCUGGGGAAGAUGGGCUGAAGCAAACUGAGUGACGUGGUUAAGUUCGCCUCGUGCGACACCGCCAUCGUCAAUCAAUCUCAGUGCGCUGCAGUUGAUCCAAACCGAGUGCGGAACGUCAAUGCCGUUCUUUGGAUUAUUUACUCCAAAACAACAAAAUCAGAUCUGAAAUGAAGUGAGAGGACCCGCUGAACUUAAGCAUAUCAAUAAGCGGAGGA